AGAGUUUGAUCAUGGCUCAGGAUGAACGCUAGCUACAGGCUUAACACAUGCAAGUCGAGGGGAAACGACAUCGAAAGCUUGCUUUUGAUGGGCGUCGACCGGCGCACGGGUGAGUAACGCGUAUCCAACCUGCCCAUCACUUGGGGAUAACCUUGCGAAAGUAAGACUAAUACCCAAUGACGUCUCUAGAAGACAUCUGAAAGAGAUUAAAGAUUUAUCGGUGAUGGAUGGGGAUGCGUCUGAUUAGCUUGUUGGGCGGGGUAACGGCCCACCAAGGCGACGAUCGAGUAGGGGUUCUGAGAGGAAGGUCCCCCANAUUGGAACUGAGACACGGUCCAAACUCCUACGGAGGCA
rnacentral:rRNA from 1 species